GGACCCGCACAAGAGGUGGAACAUGUGGUUUAAUUCGAUGCAACGCGAAGAACCUUACCUGGGCUUGACAUGUUAGUGAAAGCAUAAUGAAAAUUAUGCCAUUUUUUAAGCUUGCUUAAAAACACUAUCACAGGUGAUGCAUGGCUGUCGUCAGCUCGUGUCGUGAGAUGUUGGUUAAGUCCCGCAACGAGCGCAACCCACGUCUUUAGUUGCCAGCAUUUAGUUGGGCACUCUAGAGAGACUGCCGGUGAUAAACCGGAGGAAGGUGUGGAUGACGUCAAGUCAUCAUGCCCCUUACAUCCUGGGCUACACACGUACUACAAUGCUACGGACAAAGGGCUGCAAGUUCGCGAGGAC
rnacentral:rRNA from 1 species